CGCCCUGCAUCCUGUCGUGAGGCACAAGCCGCCCCUCCCUCCGCCUCACUGGCUCCUCUCACCCCCCGCGCUCACCCCUUUCUCUCUCUUUCUCCCUCCGUAGUGCUGGGCCGUGGGGAGGAUGGCGACAGAAAGCGUCCCGAGGUGUCGGCGGGGCUUUGGGGAGCCCCUGAAGGCUGCUCUCUGCUCUGUGUGGGUAGGAGGCCGAGCGCCAUGGGCCUCGAGUGUUGGGGUCUGGAGUCUACCCUUUGAACACCCAUAGGAGAUACUUAGAAAUAUCAUGUUUGAAAUGGUCUAGAUAUGGAUGAUCACACCUAAAUUGGAGGCAGUGCUCAGGACUACUUAGGAAUGGAUAAUACCUUCUGCUAAGAAGAGUUUUCAAGUGUGAUGGUACUGCUUGACUGCCUAGAAUGCACUUCAUGAGCUUGUGUGAUAAACAACUUGAGUCAAGAGUUCCUUCUAAAUUGAUUGGUCUCCAGAGAGAAAGCCAGCAUGUGCAAGGGAUUAGAAUUGAUAUUAAACAUCAGCUUAUGAUUUGUUGAGUGGAUGACUGCUGACUUCACCCAAGAUUACUCCAGUUGUCUUCUGCAAUGUGUUGUCUUGAAAGUGGAAUUGAGAUAAGCAAUGGCUACAGCUACACAUCUUCAAUGACUGUUUAAACAGGAAUCUAGUUAUUGGUUGAAACUGAAGUUUCUUAAAGUUCUGUAACUUAUUUGUGUCUGUGUGGAUUCUUUGAAAUAAAACAAAGAUGCUACCAGAA